GAGGGUACGGCUCAGUGGUAGAGUGUAUGUUUAGCAUGUAUGAGGUCUUGGGUUCAAUCCCUAGUACCUCUA
rnacentral:tRNA from 1 species